rnacentral:lncRNA from 1 species
AUGGGGGUAGGUGGUGACAUGUCAGGCAGAGAGCAGUGGAGUCCCCCAUCCUGAAAUAAAUUUACAAACAAUGUCUCCAAGGAAUGGAAAAAUGGAAAUCCAAACCCAAAGAAGUCACUUUGGUUGUUGACAGAGAAGACACAAGAUCACCAAACAGGUAUCGUGGGCCAAAGCAAACCCUCGUAAGACUCAGCAAGCAAUAAUGGGGAAAAAGAG